GCAAGUCGAACGCGAAAAGCCCCUUCGGGGGUAAGUAGAGUGGCGUCCGGGUGAGUAACACGUAGGUAAUCUACCUCUGGGUGGGGAAUAACUUGCCGAAAGGCGAGCUAAUACCGCAUAACGCAGCGGCACCUAAUGGUGAUUGGUUGUUAAAGCGGGGGACCCGCAAGGGCCUCGCGCCAGGAGAGGAGCCUGCGGCAGAUUAGCUAGUUGGUGAGGUAAUGGCUCACCAAGGCUUCGAUCUGUAGCUGGUCUGAGAGGACGGCCAGCCACACUGGCACUGACACACGGGCCAGACUCCUACGGGAGGCAGCAGUGGGGAAUUUUGGGCAAUGGGCGAAAGCCUGACCCAGCAACGCCGCGUGAAGGAGGAAAUCCUUCGGGAUGUAAACUUCACAAGUAAGGGAAGAAAGCUGCGGGUUAAAUAAAUCCGCAGUCCGACGGUACCUUACGUAAGCCACGGCUAACUACGUGCCAGCAGCCGCGGUAAUACGUAGGUGGCAAGCGUUGUUCGGAAUUAUUGGGCGUAAAGGGCGCGUAGGCGGUUUGUUAAGUCAGCUGUGAAAGCCCGGGGCUCAACCCCGGAGGGUCGACUGAUACUGGCAAACUAGAGUACGGAAGAGGUAGCUGGAAUUCCCGGUGUAGCGGUGAAAUGCGUAGAUAUCGGGAGGAACACCUGAGGCGAAGGCGGGCUACUGGGCCGAUACUGACGCUGAUGCGCGAAAGCCAGGGGAGCAAACGGGAUUAGAUACCCCGGUAGUCCUGGCCCUAAACGAUGGACACUUGGUGUGUCGGGUUAUCAAGU
rnacentral:rRNA from 1 species